GCUUCUAUAGCUCAGUUGGGAGAGCGUACGACUGAAGUUUCAGUCUUUGAAAUCGUAAGGUCCCUGGUUCGAACCCGGGUGGAAGCA